rnacentral:miRNA from 10 species
AUAUAUAUAUAUGUGUGUGUAUAUAUAUAUGUGUGUAUAUAUAUAUAUACACACACACACACACACACACACACACACACACACACAUAU